rnacentral:rRNA from 1 species
CACGUAGGCGGAUCUUUAAGUCAGGGGUGAAAUCCCGGAGCUCAACUCCGGAACUGCCUUUGAUACUGAGGAUCUUGAGUCCGGGAGAGGUGAGUGGAACUGCGGGUGUAGAGGUGAAAUUCGUAGAUAUUCGCAAGAACACCAGUGGCGAAGGCGGCUCACUGGCCCGGUACUGACGCUGAGGUGCGAAAGCGUGGGGAGCAAACA